UACGAAGGGGGCUAGCGUUGCUCGGAAUCACUGGGCGUAAAGCGCACGUAGGCGGAUCUUUAAGUCAGGGGUGAAAGUCCCAAGGCUCAACCUUGGAACUGCCUUUGAUACUGGGGAUCUCGAGUCCGGAAGAGGUUGGUGGAACUGCGAGUGUAGAGGUGAAUUCGUAGAUAUUCGCAAGAACACCAGUGGCGAAGGCGGCCAACUGGUCCGGUACUGACGCUGAGGUGCGAAAGCGUGGGGAGCAAAGCAGG
rnacentral:rRNA from 1 species